rnacentral:rRNA from 1 species
UACGUAGGGGGCGAGCGUUGUCCGGAAUCAUUGGGCGUAAAGCGCGUGUAGGCGGCUCGGUAAGUCCGGUGUGAAACCUUGGGGCUCAACCCCAAGCCUGCACUGGAUACUGUCGAGCUCGAGUCCGGGAGGGGAGAGCGGAAUUCCUAGUGUAGCGGUGAAAUGCGCAGAUAUUAGGAAGAACACCAGUGGCGAAGGCGACAUACUGGUCCGUUACUGACGCUGAGGCUCGAAAGCGUGGGGAGCAAACAGG